rnacentral:snoRNA from 1 species
UUGGAGAUGAUGCAUCAGGAACUUCUGACUGUCACUGAUGGUUUUAGUAUUCAUACUGUCUGAUCCAG